UUUACAUCACAAAUUAGGAAGAACUUGGCUAGAAAUAGCUAAGGUUCUGCUGAGAAGAGGAUUUAACUGGGAAUGUGCUCUUGGAAUUUCUGAAUUUGAAGAAGUAUGAUUGCUUGAAAGCAUACCAAGUGUUUAAAAGGACUAACUCAUGAGAUGAUAUGACGCCUGGGCAGCACCAGAAUUGUUAAAAAUGGACUGACAGAAAUGUAUCUGUAGUGACUCUUUUCCUACUUCAGCCUUCAAAGGAACACAGCCACCCAUAUCCAGUCUGUAUCCUGGAAAGACUUAUGACUAACCAAAGAGACGGGAGACCAUGAAAAGAGUCAGUCAUGGAUUGGUUAUGCUUCCUCUCGAGGUGAGAUGACUUGGGAAUCUGCAGGGAAAGGAUACUUUGCACGUGUAAGGCUGAAGAACCUUUACCAGGAAACUUGAAAAACAAAAUCUCAAAUCAACAAAAACAAAACAAAACAGAAAGGAUUUUCUGAAGACAAAAUUAUUUAUUGUAUAUAUUGUUAGAUGAAAGUUGUCCAUGGGGUUUCUGACCUCAAUGCAAUUUUAUGCUUUCAAUGGAUUGUUGAUGCGGAAAAAGGUCUUAAUGAAGCAGAAACCACAUUUCAUGCCUUUGGUCUAGAAGAAGGGGCUGGCUGACACGGAAAUAAUAUGCCUCAGGAAACAAAUUUAUUUUUCAAGACUUCUGAGGCAGUUGUAUCGGUGCUAUAUAGCAUUUAAAUGACAACAAACUCUGUCCUCAUUGAUAACGGAUGGCUGUUAGAAACACUUUUCUUCUCCUUAGGCUGCCAAGCUCUUCUGUGAAGUACAGUCAUGGAACUUCAGAGAAGCCUUCCAUGGUUAGGUCAUUCGAUGCUGUCACCCCUUCCACAUAAAUAGCACUUCUGCUCAAGACAUAGAGUUUAUUUUGAAGGACACAGAUCUGGAAACACUUUGUCCCUGGAUGGACUUUCAGCCAAAUGAGGAUCUCCAUAGGAAUGGAAGAAAUCACACGCUCUGCUCCAGGAUCCUGCAUUUGCCAGGUCACAUUGCUUUACUUUGGAUUUCUACCAUCCGAGAGAAGGUCAGUCCAAAGACCUGAGACCUACCAUGGUGCUGCAGAUUGCUGAGCAACGCCAGGGAAUAUGUCCUCUUGCAUCUUUGCCAGAUACUUUGGAGGAAAUUAUAUGGGACAAGGGGACCGGUUCUUCACCCAUUCCUCUGCCAUUUGUAAAGUAAAAAGUACCUUUGAACAGAGUUUCAUAAUAAUUGCAUAAUUAUUUUUGUUUUCUCAUCAAUGCCAGCCUGCUGCUGGUGAGGUACAGCAGUACUGAAAACAAGUCAUUGGAGAACUGAAUUCUAACAACUUAAAAAAUACUGUUUCUCCUUUCAGAUUUGCAAAAAAACUAUUUUAAAAAUUUCUGAGCGGUGACACUUUAAAAGAAGUAAACUACAGGCCAAUAUCUCUGCUGAACAUAUAUGCAAAAAUCCUCAAUAAUGUAUUAGCAAACUGAAUCCAAAAAUACAUUAAAAAAAUUGUUCACCUCGAUCAAGUGGGAUUUAUUCCAGAGAUGCAAGAAUGCUUCAUUAUUGGCAAAUCAAUCAACGUGAUACAUCACACCAAUAAAAGAAAGAAUAAAAACCAUAUGAUCACUUAAAUAGAUGCAGAAAAAGCAGUUGACAAAGUACAACAUUCAUUCAUGAUAAAAACUGUCAACAUGGGGUGCCUCUGUGGCUCAAUUGGGUAAGCUUCUGACUCUUGAUUUAGGCUCAGGUUAUGACCUCAUGGCACCUGAGUUUGAGCCGCCUCAGGCUGUGCUGUGCCUCUCUUUCUGCCCCUCUCCCAUGCAUGUGUUUGUGGGUGUGCUAUGUGUUUGUGGAUGCACGCAGGUGCUCUCUCAAAAUAAAUAAAUAAACAUUUAAAAAAAGACCUGUCAAUAAAGUAGGUUUAGAGGGAACAUACCUUAAUAUAAUAGAGGCCAAAUAUGAAAUACCCACAGGUUAUGUCAUACUCAACGGGAAAACUGAGAGCUUUUCCUCUAAGAUCAGAAACAAGACAAGGAUGUCCGUCCACUCUUACCCCUUUUAUUCAACAUAAUACUGGAAGUCCUAGCUGCAGCAAUCAGACAGCAAAAAGAAAUAGUGCUUGCUUCUGCAGCACAUAUACUAAAAUAUUGGAAUGAUACAGGGAAGAUUAGCAUGGCCUCUGUGCAUGAAAGAUAUACAAAUUCAUGAAGUGUUCCAUAUUAAAAAAAAUCAAUCAAUCAAUCAAAGGCAUCCUAAUUGGUAAGGAAGAUAUAAAACUUUCACUAUUUGCAUAUGACAUCAUAUUGCAUAUAGUAAACCCUAAAGAAUCCGCUAAAAAACUACUAGAACUAAUAAAUAAAUUCAAUAAAGUCAUAGGACACAAAAUUAAUAUUCAGAAACUAGUUACAUUUUUAUACAUUAAUGAUGAAGAAGCAGAAAGAGAAAUUAAGAAAGCAAUCCCACUUACAAGUGAACUUAAAAGAAUAAAAUACCUAAGAGUAAACUUAACCAAGGAGGUGAAAGAUCUAAAACACUGAUGAAAGAAAUUAAAGAUGACGCAAAUAAAUGAAAGAUGUUCCAUACUCCUGGAUUGGAAGAACCAAUAUUAUUAAAUUGUACAAUAUUAUUAAAUUGUACAUACAAGUCAAAGCAAUAUGCAAAUUUAAUUCAAUCUUUAUCAAAAUACCAACAGCAUUUUUCACAGAACUAGAACAAAUAAUCCUAAAAUUUUUAUGAAACCACAAAAGACCCCAAAUAGUCAAAGCAAUCUUGGAAAAGAAAAAUAAAGCUGGAGGUAUCACAGUCCCAGGUUUCAAGAUAUACUACAAAGCUGUGGUUAUCAAAACAGUAUGGUACUGACACAAAAAUGACAUAGAUUAAUAGAAUAGAAUAGAAAUCCCAGAAGAUAAAGCCAGGCUUAUAUGGUCAAUUAAUCGAUGACAAAGGAGGCAAGAAGAUACAAUGGGAAAAAGACACUCUCUUCAACAAGUGAUGCUGGGAAAACUGGACCACUUUCUAACAUCACACACAAAAAUGAACUCAAAAUGGCCGAAGGACCUAAAUGUGAGAAGUGAACUGUAAAAUUCCUGGAAGAAAACAGAGGCAGUAAUCUCUUUGAUACCAGCUGUAGCAAAUUUUUCUAGAUAGUCUCCUCAGGCAGGGGAAAUAAAAGUCAAAAUAAAAAGCUUUUGCAUAGUGAAAGAAAGCAUCAACAAAAGACAACCUACUAAGUGAGAGGAAGUAUUUGCAAAUGAUAUAUCCAAUAAGGGGUUAAUAUCCAAAAUAUAUAAAGAAUUUAUAGAACACUGAAAAUCCCACAAAUAAUCCAAUUAAAAAUGGGCAGAAGAUCUGAAUAGACAUUUUCUCAAUGAAGGAAUACAAAUGACCAACAGAAAUAUGAAAAAAUGAUCAUCACUCAUCAUCAGGGAAAUGCAAAUCAAAACCACAAUGAGAUAUCACCAUGAACCUGUCAAAAUGGCUAAAAUCGAAAACACAAGCAAUAGCAAGUAUUGGCAAAAAUGUAGAGAAAAGGAAUCCUUUUGCAUUGUUGGUGGAAAUGCAAGCUGGUGUAGCCACUGUGGAACAUAUUAUGAAGGUCCUUAAAAAAUUAAAAAUAGAAUUACCAUAUGAUCCAGUAAUUCCACUACUGGAAUUUCUUUAUCCAAAGAAAAUGAAAACACUCAUUGGAAAAGUUAUAUGGACCCCUAUGUUUAUUCCAGCAUUAUUUACAAUAGCCAAGAUAUGGAAGCAGCCUAAGUGUCCAUCGGUAGAUGGAUGGGUAAAGAAAUAGUAGGGGCACCUAGGUGGCUCAGUCAGUUAAGUGUCUGACUUCGGCUCAGGUCGUGGUUCAUGAGUUUGAGCCCCGCAUUGAGCCCUGUGCUAAGGGCUUGGAGCCUGGACCCUGCUUUGGAUUCUGUGUCUCCCUCUCUCUCUGCCCCUCCCCUGCUCAGCUCUGUCUCUCUCUGUCUCUCAAAAAUAAAUAAAUGUUAAAAAAAAUUUUAAGAAAUAGUAGACACACACACACACACACACACACACACACACAGAGCGGAAUAUUAGUCAACCAUAAAAAAGAGUGAAAUCUGGCUAUUUGUAAAAACAGGGAUGGACCUAGAGGGUAUAAUGCUAAAUGAAAUAAGUCAAUCAGAGAAACCAUGUGAUUUCAAUCAUAUGUGGAAUUUAAGAAAACAAUUGAACAAAGAAAAAGACAAACAAAAACCCCCAGACUCUUAAAUACAGAGAACAAAGUGGUAGUUGUCAGAGGGGAGGUGGGUGGGAGCAUGGGUGAAAUAAGUGAAUGGGAUUAAGAGUACACAGCAUGAUGAGCACUGAGCAAUGGAUAGAAUUGUUGAAUCAUUAUAUUUUAUACUUGAAACCAAUAUAACACUGUAUAUUAAUUAUACUUGAACAAAAAAAUUUCUAAGGAGUGAUUCAGCUGCACAGAAUGAAGCGAUAAAAUAGUAAUCAUAUAAUCAUGAAUAGAUUAAUAUUGACUCCAAAGUCUAUGUACUAAAAUAAUAAAUGUAUACAGUUUUAAAUUAUUUAUUUAUCUAUUUAUUUAUUUAUUUGAACUAUCUCAUUUUCCAAAGGACUAGGACACUAUGGGUAUAUGACUAUAUUACAAGGACAAGUAAAAUACUAUUCUUGAAUACAUGAAGCAAAAUUUUUUAGCUUAUUCCAUUUAUAUGGCUUGGACAAAGUUGACUUUUUUUUUCUACUUCUAUGUUAUGCAUAUGAUAUUUCUGUUGUAAAUAUUUUGCUCAAAAUAUUUUAAAUUUGCCUUGUGUUCAAAAAGGACACCACUUUAUUGGAGAUAAUGUGCUUAGUGGAGUGAACAUAGGUUUUGGAGUCAGGAAUUUCAAUGCUGGCUUUACUAAAUAUUAUUGGGUAAGUUAUUUAACCUUUCCGACUCUGAGAUUUCACAUGUAAAAAUUAGAAAUAAUGCACAAUUUUCAGUUCUUUGGGGGAGACAAAUGAGAUGAAAAAAAUGUGCCUAGUAUAGUGCUUAACAUGCAAGUGAUUUAUUUUAUUAUUGUUCCUAUUCUUUUUAAAAAAAAAAAGUUUCAACAUUUUUAUUCAGAGAGAGAGAGAGAACACCAGCAGGGGAGGGGCAGAGAGAGAGAGGGAGACACAGAAUCCAAAGCAGUCUCCAGGCUCAGAGCUGUCAGCACAGAGCCCAACACAGGGCUCAGACCUACAGACCGUGAGAUCAUCACCUGAGCCACUCAGAUGCCUAACAGACUGAGCCACCCAGGAACCCCAAUUGUUGCUAUUCUUAAUAGAAGAGUCUACUACAUAAUUUUGUUUAAAACCUUCUUUGAAGACUUUUUUAAAAAAAUUGAAUUGACUAAAUGUAGUGGCCAAAUGGAUUAAGUUACCAAAUUGUUUUGUUUUAUGUAGAUAAAAUUAAGCUUUCAUUGUGCUGUUUGUGUUUUACCUACCUUUCCACGGUUAUACGCAGGCUUGGGGGCCUUACGCAAUACCAGGGCAUAGAUGCGGGAGUAGAAAAAUUCUCUUUUAGUUAUUGGUAAACACCAGUUGCUGCUGGUAAUUCUCUGGAUAGAGAUCAGGAAAAACUCCAUUCUCCUUUCUGGGUCCUAAGUUAGUUGACUAUUGUCAUAAAGCAGUGAGUGGAAGGUUAGGAUUUUAGGAAACGGAUAUUAAUCAGAACAGUUUUGUUCUGGGGUUUUUUGUUUCUUUCUUUCUUGGUGGUUUUUUUAAUUUUUUUUGUGUGUACUUUUGUUUGUUUUUGUUUUUGUUUUUUUUGAGAGAGAGAGAGAAGAGUGAAUGGGGAAGAGGGGCAGAGAGAGAGAGAAAAUCUCAAGCAGGCUCCAUGCUCAGUGCAGAGCCCCAUGUGGUGCUUGAUCCCACAACCCCAUGAUCAUGACCUGAGUGGAGACCAAGAGUCAGUUGCUCAAUCAACUGAGCCACCUAGGUGCCCCAAUAAGAAGAAUUUUUAUAGCAAUGCCUCUUUUAUUUUCCACUGAAAAUAAAAUUAAAAUCAGAUAUAUCCAUACUGGUUUCUCAGUGCUUUACUGACGAGGUUUCAUGUUUUAUUUUUUUUGGUCUAAGCAACAAAGAUGAAGAUUUCUAUAUCCACAUGAUAUGGGUAUGAUAGCCUUUGGGAAAUGGACAAAAAAGUUCAUUCAGAGUUAAGUUCAAAAAACACAACCUAUACACUGCUUCCUUUUCACAGUGAGGUGAACUCCUUUUCUCUUUUAUAUCUGAGAUGAUUGACAGGGAUGACAUUUAUUAGAAUGUUUUUUUUUUCAUUUGGGUCAAACAUCCUUUAUUAUGUAGUGGAAAUAUUACAAAGCAGGAAGCUGUGAUAGUCAACCUUCAAGGUGGUGUCUAAUGAGCCAUACCCUCUGGUAUUCUUGAUCCUAUGUGAUCUCCUCCCAUAAUCAGUAGGCUUGACCUGUGUAACCAAUAGGAUCUUGAGGGAGUUACAAUGUACAGUUUCUGAAGCUUGGUCAUAAAAGACAUUGUGGCUUCUGCUUUGCCUUUUCUUCAACCUCUCUCCUGAGGGAAGCCAGCCACCAUGUUAUGAGAACCCUCAAGCAACUCUGUGGAGAAGAGGAAUUGAGGCCAAUUGUUAACAGCAAAGGUGCACUUGCUAGUCAUGUGAGUGAACCAUCUUGAAGUGGGAUCUUUCAAACAUAGUUGAGCCAAAAUGACAUAACCAAGACACUCUGAUAUUCUUGACCUACAGAAACCAUGCAAGAUAAUAAAUAAUUUCUAUAAUUUUAAGCCAUUAAGUCUGGGGAUAAUUUGUUAUUGCAGCAGUGGCUACCUAAUACACAAGCAUAUAAAAAUUCUUAUGAAUAGAUGUAAAGGCUUUGUCUAAUAAUAAUCUUUGUCUAAUAAUCCUUUUUUUUCUUCCCUGGGUAAUAUAUACAGAUUAUCUUUUGGGAAUGGAAUGGCUCAAGUUUUGUGGUCCUGCACUCUUUAAAUGACAGUCCAUCUUUGCCAAGUUCAUUUUUUUCUCCAGAAGACAGAUUUAGCACAUGUCAAAUGACCAAGAGUUUUAGUCAGCUGAGUCAAGACAGUAUAAAAUUCUAUGUGUGUCCAUGUGGCUCUCUUACCUUCUCCAUCUCUUUCUCUUACUUCUGUGCUAGUGUUGGUGGAGAUGAGUGAGUGGGGCACAGGAAAAUUUUUGCUGUUUUUGUGCCAAGCCUUGGGAUAAGGAAGCACUAGAGACUCUGGGUUUCUGUAUUCUCAUCUUAAACUCAUUACAGUUAUGCCUUCUCUCCAAGGACCCAUCGGGUCUUCCUUAUAGGACUUUCCAAAAUGUCUCCUAUUGUCUCUCUCUUGUCUGUAUUUGUGUGGUAGAGGUGGUAGGUGGAGGUGGUAGGUAUGGAAUUUUUCUUUCUUAUUUUUUCUGAGUAUUUUGUCUCUACUCCAGAUAUUAUCCAUUUAAGUUCUUUUUUUUUAUUUUUAAAGUUUAUUUAUUUAUUUUGAAAGAUACAGAGAGAUAGAGAGAGGGAGAGAGAGAGAGAGUGCACAUGCAUGUACAAGUGAGGGAGGGGCAGAGAAAGGGGGGGAGAGAGAAUCCCAAGUAGGCUCUGUGCUAUCAGUGCAGAGCCUGAGGUGGGACUCCAAUUCAUGAACCAUGAGAUCACGACCUGAGCCAAAAUCAAGAGUUGGACACUCAACUGAGUGAGCACCCCAGGUGCCCCAGUUCAUUUAAAUUCUUAAGUACUUGAAAACUAUAGCCAGCAAGACUCUUAGACUUCUCUGUUUUUGCUUUGUUUUAUCCUGCCUCUCAGUCAUAUUCUUUGAAUGAAGGGAGGAAGAGUUGGAGGAAAUGCUCGGAGAAAAAAGGAAUACAUGUUAAUAUCUCAAAAAUACUAUGCCAACACACUUCUGACAAUUCAUACUGGGGUUUCAAGUUUUACCCAGAUUUUUCCCUAAAAUUAUAUGUGAAUAAAAGUUAUCUGAAGGUGGGAGUAAACACAGAGAAUUAAAUUUAAUAACAGCUGAGAUGCUUCUAUGGAUCCUAUGUGUUUUAGAAAAUGUGAAACAUCCACUCUUAGGACUGCCACAAAUAAAAAAGUUUUGCAGUAGUAUAACUUAGAUACAUUUUGAUAUGACAGUAACUAUUGAAUUCCUUUAGACAUUUCACAAAUGUAGGAAAACUAGUUCUUAGUGCUAUGUGUUGAAUUUGCAGACCAGUGAUCUUAUGCAUACAUAUUACACAGAGAGCUAUUAAAAAUGCAGGUGCUCAAACUCCACCCCAGCAAUCCUGAUUCAGACUGAAUUGCCUGUUUCUUUUAUGGGUGUGGUCACUUUUAUUCCUCAAGUUGUGUAUUCAUCUAUUGACUGAUAGGCUAAUGUCUCACAAGAUAAUUAUGUUGAGUUUAGAAUUCAUAAAGGAAGGAGAAAGUGAUUAUUAAGUGAAAAUUUUGUGUUCUAGUAGUUUGUACAGCUCUAAACAAUGUACAAAAUACUGUCAAAGAACAGUCAACACAGAGGAAGUGGGGCCAAGGAGUGGAGAAAAUCACGCAGGAUUCUGAUGAUACCAGCUAUUUGCUUAAUGCUAGUAUACCCUUGGACUAUUCAGUUGCAUGAAACAAUAAAUUCCUUUUUUUUUUUUAAAUUAAGCUACUUUGAAUUGGGUUUUCUUACAUCUUAACUAAAAGAAUAUCAACUAAUAACAAUUCUCCACAAAUGGUUGUUGAAUAUAUGUUUGAAUGAAAGAUUGAAGUACGUGGGGAGAGGGUAUUAAAAUAGCCAACUCCUCCUGAUACUCUUCUUUGGGUAGGAGAUAUCAUUUUCUGUAGCACAGUUCCAGUGGUUACCAUUUACAUGGAACAUAAUAUUAAUGGUGCUCCCCAGGAUGUGGGCAACAGGGCAGCCCUGAGGAAAGAUGAUUGUGGGGUGAAGAAGAAUCUGUGGUUCUUAGUGCUGCAUCAUUUAUACCCUGGAGUCCCAUUUCCUGAAAGUGGGCAGACCACGUUCUCUAUGUUACCUUGUAUUGUGGAUCCAUUACUCUUAAGGACUUCCAUACAGUUUCUUCUUCUCCUUACAGAGAACGCCAGAAACAUUUAAUAUUGCUGUGCUAAAUAGUAUUUAGAAUAUGUGUAGUUCUUAAGCUUAAGCCUCAUUAUCAUAUACUUACACACAAUUACUAUUUUUAUUGUAAGUUUUAUUCUAUUAAAGUAUUCAUUUUACUGAAUCAAUUCAUGGUGACUCAGGCUUUAUAAUUUAUUAUUCUACAAAAUGUUCAAGUGAUUACAACUUUAAAAAAAUUGGGGCAAUUUUCUUGCUCUAUAUGCAUGGAUUGACUUGAG